UACGUAGGGCGCAAGCGUUGUCCGGAAUUAUUGGGCGUAAAGAGCUCGUAGGCGGUCUGUCGCGUCGGAUGUGAAAGCCCGGGGCUUAACCCCGGGUCUGCAUUCGAUACGGGCAGACUAGAGUGUGGUAGGGGAGAUCGGAAUUCCUGGUGUAGCGGUGAAAUGCGCAGAUAUCAGGAGGAACACCGGUGGCGAAGGCGGAUCUCUGGGACGGUACUGACGCUGAGACGCGAAAGCGUGGGGAGCGAACAGG
rnacentral:rRNA from 1 species